AGAGUUUGAUCCUGGCUCAGAAUGAACGCUAGCGAUAUGCUUAACACAUGCAAGUUGAACGUUGUUUUCGAAUCAAAAUGAAAACAAAGUGGCGAACGGGUGCGUAACACGUAGGAAUCUGCCAAACAGUUUGGGCCAAAUCCUGAAUGAAUAAAAGCUAAAAAGCGCUGUUUGAUGAGCCCACGUAGUAUUAGGUAGUUGGUUAGGUAAAAGCUGACCAAGCCUACGAUGCUUAGCUGGUCUGAGAGGAUGAUCAGCCACACUGGGACUGAGACACGGCCCAGACUCCUACGGGAGGCAGCAGUGGGGAAUUUUCCGCAAUGGGCGAAAGCCUGACGGAGCAAUAUGGCGUGAGUGAAGAAGGGCAACGCAGCUUGUAAAGCUCUUUCAUCGAGUGUGCGAUUGUGACAAGACUCGAAUAAUAAGCAUCGGCUAACUCUGUGCCAGCAGCCGCGGUAAGACGGGGGGGGCUAGUGUUAUUCGGAAUGACUAGGCGUAAAGGGCACGUAGGCGGUGAAUCCGGUUGAAAGUGAAAGUCGCCAGCUCAACUGGCGGAAUGCUUUCAAAACCAAUUCACUUGAGUAAGAUAGAGGAUAGUGGAAUUUCGUGUGUAGAGAUAAAAUUCACAGAUAUACGAAGGAACACCAAAAGCGAAGGCAGCUUUCUGGGUCUCUACUGACGCUGAGGUGCGAAAGCAUAGGGAGCAAACAGGAUUAGAUACCCUGGUAGUCUAUGCCGUAAACGAUGAGUGUUCGUCCUUGGUCUGCGCUGUAUGCAAAACGGCUGAUCAGGGGCCCAGCUAACGCGUUAAGUAUCCCGCCUGGGGAGUACGUUCGCAAGAAUGAAACUCAAAGGAAUUGACGGGGGCCCGCACAAGCGGUGGAGCAUGUGGUUUAAUUCGAUGCAACGCGAAGAACCUUACCAGGGCUUGACAUAUGAAUAAGUUUGCUUGUCCUUAAUGGGACGGUACGAAAAUUUAUACAGGUGGUGCAUGGCUGUCGUCAGCUCGUGCCGUAAGGUGUUGGGUUAAGUCCCGCAACGAGCGCAACCCUCGUUUUGUGUUGCUAAGACAUGUGUUUUGGGGUCUUUGUAAAAUUGACAAUCCAUGCCAUGUACUGCACUCACAAGAAACUGCCAGUGAUAUACUGGAGGAAGGUGAGGAUGACGUCAAGUCAGCAUGCCCCUUACGCCCUGGGCGACACACGUGCUACAAUGGCAAUUACAAUAGGAAGCAAGGCUUUAAGGCGGAGCGAAUCCAGAAAGAUAGCCUCAGUUCGGAUUGUUCUCUGCAACUCGAGAACAUGAAGUUGGAAUCGCUAGUAAUCGCGGAUCAGCAUGCCGCGGUGAAUAUGUACUCAGGCCCUGUACACACCGCCCGUCACACCAUGGGAAUUGGCUUCGCCCGAAGCAUCAAACCAAGGAUCACCCAUUAUUUCAGUGUUCUACGCCGUUGUUGAGUGUGGCCUACUAGAGUAAUUGGUGGUCUAAUGUGGGAUACCAAGGUGGGGCCUUUGACUGAGGUGAAGUCGUAACAAGGUAGCCGUAGGGGAACCUGUGGCUG
rnacentral:rRNA from 1 species